rnacentral:rRNA from 1 species
AUUGAACGCUGGCGGCAGGCCUAACACAUGCAAGUCGAACGAGUGGCAGACGGGUGUGUAAUGUCUGGGAAACUGCCUGCUGGAGGGGGAUAACUACUGGAAACGGUAGCUAAUACCGCAUACCAUCGGAUGUGCCCAGAUGGGAGUAGCUAGUAGGUGGGGUAAAGGCUCCCCGAGGCGGCGCUCCCUAGCUGGUCUGAGAGGAUGACCGGCCAAACUGGAACAGAGGCACGGUCCAGACGCCUACGGGAGGCAGCAGUGGGGAAUAUGGCACAAUGGGCGCAAGCCUGAUGCAGCCAUGCCGCGUGUAUGAAGAAGGCCUUCGGGUUGUAAAGUACUUUCAGCGGGGAGGCGUUACCCGCAGAAGAAGCACCGGCUAACUCCGUGCCAGCAGCCGCGGUAAUUC